rnacentral:misc_RNA from 1 species
GAGGUCGUCUCCUACCCGAGAGCGACAAUCAUAUCAGCGCGCCGACUUGUCGGCCCACGACGGAGGUGUAUGGGCUACACCUACGGACUGCGACAAGUCGCUGUUGCAUCAGCCACGACAUGGAACCGAUAUCGGCGCUGCUAGACGACAUUAGGUUGUCUUUGUAUCCUAGAAUGGCAGCAUCAGCGCUCAGGGAAGCCUAAGAAGCUGGCGCCUCUGUGCAGCUGUCUUCGAUCUGUAUCCAGUCAGCGUGUCCCCGAAGGCAACCAAAGAUCUGGUCAUCGAUUCGCUUCCCGCGGGCCGCGGCAAGACUUACCUUGCGCCAGAAACCCACAAACCUUUGUGCGGUGAUGCUUUGGCGUAUGACCGCUAGGAGAUGACUGGAUCUGACGAACCAAGAACCAUCCUGGUUCGUCUGCUUCGAUGGCAACGCGAACCAGAGAUUUUUUUGAUUUAAUGAACAUAUUGGUGGAAAAUGAAUACACAACCCAUGUAUUCGCAUGUUGAGAGCGAACAAGAACUGUAAUUAUAAGCUGCAAGCCAGUAAAUAUCAUCUUCAUAGACCAUCUAUUCCAGCCCGAUACUUAGAGUGUCAUUUCUCUUCCCACCAUGAGGACUACCUAUUGAUUUGCUCUUGUGAUGCUCUUCGGGCCACUGCCGGCUGCUAAAACCAUCCAUGAUGCCCAGCCACUGCCACGAUUGCGCAUCACGGGAAUAACUAGGUCUGAUCUUUUUUCCAGUCGCUGCUCCAGAUGAACGUCCCGCAUCUCCACUCCUCCCCGAUCUGACCCCCCGUUCCCACCGGG